rnacentral:rRNA from 1 species
UACGUAGGGGGCGAGCGUUGUCCGGAUUUAUUGGGCGUAAAGAGCGUGUAGGCGGCCAGGUAGGUCAGCUGUGAAAACUCGAGGCUCAACCUCGAGAUGUCGGCUGAAACCAUCUGGCUAGAGUCCGGAAGAGGAGAAUGGAAUUCCCGGUGUAGCGGUGAAAUGCGCAGAUAUCGGGAAGAACACCCGUGGCGAAGGCGGUUCUCUGGGACGGGACUGACGCUGAGACGCGAAAGCGUGGGGAGCGAGCAGG